GACGAACGCUGGCGGCGUGCCUAAUACAUGCAAGUAGAACGCUGAAGGAGGAGCUUGCUCUUCUGGAUGAGUUGCGAACGGGUGAGUAACGCGUAGGUAACCUGCCUGGUAGCGGGGGAUAACUAUUGGAAACGAUAGCUAAUACCGCAUAACAGUAGAUGUUGCAUGACAUUUACUUAAAAGGUGCAAUUGCAUCACUACCAGAUGGACCUGCGUUGUAUUAGCUAGUUGGUGGGGUAACGGCUCACCAAGGCGACGAUACAUAGCCGACCUGAGAGGGUGAUCGGCCACACUGGGAAUGAGACACGGCCCAGACUCCUAAGGGAGGCAGCAGUAGGGAAUCUUCGGCAAUGGACGGAAGUCUGACCGAGCAACGCCGCGUGAGUGAAGAAGGGUUUCGGAUCGUAAAGCUCUGUUGUAAGAGAAGAACGAGGGUGAGAGUGGAAAGUUCACACUGUGACGGUAUCUGACCAGAAAGGGACGGCUAACUACGUG
rnacentral:rRNA from 1 species